rnacentral:rRNA from 1 species
AUACGGAGGGGGCUAGCGUUGUUCGGAAUUACUGGGCGUAAAGCGUACGCAGGCGGAUAUUUAAGUUAGGUGUGAAAUCCCAGGGCUCAACCCUGGAACUGCACUUAAAACUGGGUAUCUAGAGUUAUGGAGAGGUAAGUGGAAUUCCUAGUGUAGAGGUGAAAUUCGUAGAUAUUAGGAGGAACACCAGAGGCGAAGGCGGCUUACUGGACAUAUACUGACGCUGAGGUACGAAAGUGUGGGGAGCAAACGGGAUUAGAUACCCUAGUAGUCC